rnacentral:rRNA from 1 species
CUAGUAACGGCGAGUGAAGCGGCAACAGCUCAAAUUUGAAAGCUGGCCUUCGGGUCCGCAUUGUAAUUUGUAGAGGAUGCUUUGGGUGAAACGCCAGUCUAAGUUCCUUGGAACAGGACGUCAUAGAGGGUGAGAAUCCCGUAUGUGACUGGAAAUGUUAACCUAUGUAAAGCUCCUUCGACGAGUCGAGUUGUUUGGGAAUGCAGCUCUAAAUGGGAGGUAAAUUUCUUCUAAAGCUAAAUAUUGGCGAGAGACCGAUAGCGCACAAGUAGAGUGAUCGAAAGAUGAAAAGCACUUUGGAAAGAGAGUUAAAAAGCACGUGAAAUUGUUGAAAGGGAAGCGCUUGCAAUCAGACUUGUUUAAACUGUUCGGCCGGUCUUCUGACCGGUUUACUCAGUUUGGACAGGCCAGCAUCAGUUUCGGCGGCCGGAUAAAGGCUCUGGGAAUGUGGCCUUCACUUCGGUGAAGGUGUUAUAGCCCAGGGUGUAAUACGGCCAGCCGGGACUGAGGUCCGCGCUUCGGCUAGGAUGCUGGCGUAAUGGUUGUAAGCGACCCGUCUUGAAACACGGACC